rnacentral:rRNA from 1 species
UACGUAGGGUCCGAGCGUUGUCCGGAAUUAUUGGGCGUAAAGGGCUCGUAGGCGGUCUGUUGCGUCGGGAGUGAAAACUUACAGCUUAACUGUGAGCGUGCUUCCGAUACGGGCAGACUUGAGGUAUUCAGGGGAGAACGGAAUUCCUGGUGUAGCGGUGAAAUGCGCAGAUAUCAGGAAGAACACCCGUGGCUAAGGCGGUUCUCUAGUACGGUACUGACGCUGAGACGCGAAAGCGUGGGGAGCGAACAGG